AUUGAACGCUGGCGGCAUGCUUUACACAUGCAAGUCGAACGGUAACAGGCCGCAAGGUGCUGACGAGUGGCGAACGGGUGAGUAAUGCAUCGGAACGUGCCCAGUCGUGGGGGAUAACGCAGCGAAAGCUGCGCUAAUACCGCAUACGAUCUAUGGAUGAAGGCGGGGGACCGUAAGGCCUCGCGCGAUUGGAGCGGCCGAUGUCAGAUUAGGUAGUUGGUGGGGUAAAGGCUCACCAAGCCAACGAUCUGUAGCUGGUCUGAGAGGACGACCAGCCACAAUGGGGAUGAGACACGGCCCAGACACCGACGGGAGGCAGCAGGGGGGAAUUUUGGACAAUGGGCGCAAGCCUGAUCCAGCAAUGCCGCGUGCAGGAAGAAGGCCUUCGGGUUGUAAACUGCUUUUGUACGGAACGAAAAGGCUCUGGUUAAUACCUGGGGCUCAUGACGGUACCGUAAGAAUAAGCACCGGCUAACUACGUGCCAGCAGCCGCCGUAAAAC
rnacentral:rRNA from 1 species